rnacentral:rRNA from 1 species
AGAGUUUGAUCAUGGCUCAGAAUCAACGCUGGCGGCGUGCCUAACACAUGCAAGUCGAACGAGAAAGGGGAGCAAUCCCUGAGUAAAGUGGCGACCGGGUGAGUAACACGUGACUAACCUGCCUUCGAGUGGGGGAUAACCUCGGGAAACCGGGGGCUAAUACCGCAUAAUGCUUCGGGUUAAAGGAGCAAUUCGCUUGAAGAGGGGGUCGCGGCUGAUUAGCUAGUUGGCGGGGUAACGGCCCACCAAGGCGAAGAUCGGUAGCCGGCCUGAGAGGGCGCACGGCCACACUGGAACUGAAACACGGUCCAGACUCCUACGGGAGGCAGCAGUGGGGAAUUUUGCGCAAUGGGGGAAACCCUGACGCAGCAACGCCGCGUGGAGGAUGAAGUCCUUUGGGACGUAAACUCCUUUCGACCGGGACGAUUAUGACGGUACCGGUGGAAGAAGCCCCGGCUAACUUCGUGCCAGCAGCCGCGGUAAUACGAGGGGGGCGAGCGUUGUUCGGAAUUAUUGGGCGUAAAGGGCGCGUAGGCGGUGCGGUAAGUCACCUGUGAAACCUCUGGGCUUAACUCAGAGCCUGCAGGCGAAACUGCCGUGCUGGAGUGUGGGAGAGGUGCGUGGAAUUCCCGGUGUAGCGGUGAAAUGCGUAGAUAUCAAGUGGAACACCAGUGGCGAAGGCGAGUCCCUGGACAACUCCUGACACUGAGGCACGAAAGCUAGGGGAGCAAACAGGAUUAGAUACCCUAGUAGUCC